GAUGAACGCUGGCGGCGUGCCUAAUACAUGCAAGUCGAGCGAACAGGCGAGGAGCUUGCUCCUCUGACGUUAGCGGCGGACGGGUGAGUAACACGUGGAUAACCUACCUAUAAGACUGGGAUAACUUCGGGAAACCGGAGCUAAUACCGGAUAAUAUAUUGAACCGCAUGGUUCAAUAGUGAAAGACGGUUUUGCUGUCACUUAUAGAUGGAUCCGCGCCGCAUUAGCUAGUUGGUAAGGUAACGGCUUACCAAGGCAACGAUGCGUAGCCGACCUGAGAGGGUGAUCGGCCACACGGGAACUGAGACACGGUCCAGACUCCUACGGGAGGCAGCAGUAGGGAAUCUUCCGCAAUGGGCGAAAGCCUGACGGAGCAACGCCGCGUGAGUGAUGAAGGUCUUCGGAUCGUAAAACUCUGUUAUUAGGGAAGAACAAAUGUGUAAGUAACUAUGCACGUCUUGACGGUACCUAAUCAGAAAGCCACGGCUAACUACGUG
rnacentral:rRNA from 1 species